GGUGAACGAUUUUGCUUUUGGCAUGUGAUUAGAAGAGAACUGUCUCUUCUUUAGUGAGAGUUCAGCCUUGGCACUGAGUUGCUUUGGAGAGGGAGAUCCAGAUUAGAUCUAGGUCAUUCCCUGUUAUUCUUCCGUCCUCCAGCAACCUUUGUUGAUCCAUCUUCAACCUUGGAAGGGCCCGAGGCAAUUCGAGAAGGAGAUCCAACCAGAUCAGCCAUCAGUAGUGAUCUUCAUGAGCGAGCAC
rnacentral:lncRNA from 1 species